rnacentral:rRNA from 1 species
UCGUAACAAAAGUUUCCGUAGGUGAACCAGCGGAGGGAUCAUUA